UUUGAUUCUGGCUCAGGACGAACGCUGGUGGCGCGCCUAACACAUGCAAGUCGAACGGAGCUUAGAGAGCUUGCUUUUUAAGCUUAGUGGCGAACGGGUGGGUAACGCGUGAGUAACCUGCCCUAGAGUGGGGGACAGCAGUUGGAAACGACUGCUAAUACCGCAUAAGCCCACGGUACCGCAUGGUACUGAGGGAAAAGGAUUUAUUCGCUUUAGGGUGGACUCGCGUCCAAUUAGCUAGUUGGUGAGGUAACGGCCCACCAAGGCGACGAUUGGUAGCCGGACUGAGAGGUUGAACGGCCACAUUGGGACUGAGACACGGCCCAGACUCCUACGGGAGGCAGCAGUGGGGGAUAUUGCACAAUGGGGGAAACCCUGAUGCAGCGACGCCGCGUGGAGGAAGAAGGUUUUCGGAUUGUAAACUCCUGUCGUUAGGGACGAUAAUGACGGUACCUAACAAGAAAGCACCGGCUAACUACGUGCCAGCAGCCGCGGUAAAACGUAGGGUGCAAGCGUUGUCCGGAAUUACUGGGUGUAAAGGGAGCGCAGGCGGGAAGACAAGUUGGAAGUGAAAACCAUGGGCUCAACCCAUGAAUUGCUUUCAAAACUGUUUUUCUUGAGUAGUGCAGAGGUAGAUGGAAUUCCCGGUGUAGCGGUGGAAUGCGUAGAUAUCGGGAGGAACACCAGUGGCGAAGGCGGUCUACUGGGCACCAACUGACGCUGAGGCUCGAAAGCAUGGGUAGCAAACAGGAUUAGAUACCCUGGUAGUCCAUGCCGUAAACGAUGAUUACUAGGUGUUGGGGGAUUGACCCCCUCAGUGCCGCAGUUAACACAAUAAGUAAUCCACCUGGGGAGUACGACCGCAAG
rnacentral:rRNA from 1 species